rnacentral:lncRNA from 1 species
UUGGGUUUCCUCUGGCUCAAAAUUUGAAAUCAUGAAAUCAAAUAUAAAAAUAAUACUCAUCUUUUUAAGAAUAAAUAUUCGUUGUACAAGUACCGGCAGGAUUUAUUGCAUUAGAUGUAAGAAAGUGCUCACUAGUAUGUAUAAUGUCUAAGGCAAAUAUUUUUAUGAAAAAAAUUGUAUGUGUAGUUUAUAAUUAUAUAUUCGUUUCAAAUAUGCAUAUUUUCAAAAACAAACAAACACAUGGAUUUCAUUUGACCCCGUGACUAGUUGAAGGUUGACACUUCUAAUCGUACCUUUGCUUCUUU